AUGCGCUCUGUACUACUUGAACUGCUUGCUGCAUCUAUGACCCCUUCUCGUCCUAUAGUCCUCAAUCAAUGGACACAACAUGGCUAUAAUGUUCCUGCCAUUCAAAUUACUCUAAAUUUUUAUGGUCAACACUUAAUUUUUGCACUUCCAGGUGGCAUUCAAAAGAUCAGCUCGGCGCCAUGCGGGACGCUGCAGAGUUGUCGUGGUGACCAUGCUGAAGUGAGGUCAAGGCGCUGGAGUCCGGCGGCACUGCUGCAUGUUGCAUGUUCUUUCUUGCUGAGGUCGAGCAGCUGGAGUGCGGUUGUGUACAUGCUCGUCACCCUCCUAGAGUCCAGCUAUGCUGUUGGCUUUCUCUUGUCGCUGUUUGUCUAA
rnacentral:rRNA from 1 species